UGUGCUCAUAUUUAAACAAAAUCCCUCUUUUACCAUUCUAGGGUUUAGACCAGAGGCUUCGUCCACAGCUCAAUCUCCUCAAGUGAAAAUGCCGUCGCACAAGACAUUCAUGAUUAAGAAGAAGCUGGCUAAGAAGCAGAGGCAAAACAGGCCGAUUCCUUACUGGAUCCGCAUGCGCACAGACAAUACCAUCCGGUAC